GCCCCAUUCGUAACCAUUGUGCAUGAUAUUUCAUUAUUAUAUUUUUCUAUCUGGACUUUUAAACGACUUUUAAUUUGACUAAGCUUUUAUUAAAUAAUAAAAUAAUUAUAGUAUGUAAGUUUUAAGAAACAGCGAAUCUUUUUUAGAGUUAUUAAGUAAUGAGAAAUUUCAAGAACUUUUUGUAGCCAAUUUUUAUUGUUUGGGUUCGGUUUCGUCAGAGCUGCGGGCAAAUAAAAUCAUUAACCUGAGAAAAGUGAGUAUAUUACCUAGAGAAUGUGCUGUACUUCAGCCACAUAGUUGACAUUUCAUGGAAAAUUUGUAUUAUCCACAACUCUCCUCAGAAGAAGUCGACCAAGAAAUGAUUAAGUUACGUCACAACAAAGCAAGUUUUAUUAUUUCACAACUCUUUCAAGAUGCGAAGAUUACCAGAUGUGAGUAAACAAGAUAUUUUCUUAAAGUAAGUGCAUCUUCAUUAUUUGAAGUGACUGGCGAACCUUUCUUUACCUGAGGA